UACAGAGGUCCCAAGCGUUGUUCGGAUUCACUGGGCGUAAAGGGUGCGUAGGCGGUCGGGUAAGUCUGAUGUGAAAUCUCACAGCUUAACUGUGAAACUGCAUUGGAUACUAUCCGGCUCGAGGAAUGGAGGGGAGACUGGAAUACUUGGUGUAGCAGUGAAAAUGCGUAGAUAUCAGGAGGAACACCGGUGGCGAAGGCGGGACUCUGGGCCGAUACUGACGCUGAGGAGCGAAAGCGUGGGGGAGCAAACAGG
rnacentral:rRNA from 1 species